UAGGGAAUAUUGGGCAAUGGCGGAAACGCUGACCCAGCCAUGCCGCGUGCAGGAUGAAGGCCUUCUGGGUUGUAAACUGCUUUUACCAGGGAAGAAAAUACCUUUGCGAAGGGAACUGACGGUACCUGGUGAAUAAGCACCGGCUAACUCCGUGCCAGCAGCCGCGGUAAUACGGAGGGUGCAAGCGUUGUCCGGAUUUAUUGGGUUUAAAGGGUGCGUAGGCGGCGUAAUAAGUCCGUGGUGAAAGCCAACAGCUCAACUGUUGAACUGCCAUGGAUACUGUUAGGCUUGAGUACAGACGAGGUAGGCGGAAUGGAUCGUGUAGCGGUGAAAUGCAUAGAUACGAUCCAGAACUCCGAUUGCGAAGGCAGCUUACUAGGCUGUAACUGACGCUGAGGCACGAAAGCGUGGGGAGCGAACAGGGAUUAGAUACCCUGGUAGUCCACGCUGUAAACGAUGAUAACUCGAUGUUGGCGAUACACAGUCAGCGUCUUAGCGAAAGC
rnacentral:rRNA from 1 species